rnacentral:rRNA from 1 species
AUUGAACGCUGGCGGAAUGCUUUACACAUGCAAGUCGAACGGCAGCACGGGGGCAACCCUGGUGGCGAGUGGCGAACGGGUGAGUAAUACAUCGGAACGUGCCCAGUCGUGGGGGAUAACGUAGCGAAAGUUACGCUAAUACCGCAUACGAUCUACGGAUGAAAGCGGGGGAUCGCAAGACCUCGCGCGAUUGGAGCGGCCGAUGUCAGAUUAGGUAGUUGGUGGGGUAAAGGCUCACCAAGCCAACGAUCUGUAGCUGGUCUGAGAGGACGACCAGCCACACUGGGACUGAGACACGGCCCAGACUCCUACGGGAGGCAGCAGUGGGGAAUUUUGGACAAUGGACGAAAGUCUGAUCCAGCCAUUCCGCGUGCAGGACGAAGGCCUUCGGGUUGUAAACUGCUUUUGUACGGAACGAAAAAGCCUUGGCUAAUACCCAGGGUCCAUGACGGUACCGUAAGAAUAAGCACCGGCUAACUACGUGCCAGCAGCCGCGGUAAUACGUAGGGUGCGAGCGUUAAUCGGAAUUACUGGGCGUAAAGCGUGCGCAGGCGGUUUUGUAAGACAGAGGUGAAAUCCCCGGGCUCAACCUGGGAACUGCCUUUGUGACUGCAAGGCUAGAGUGCGGCAGAGGGGGAUGGAAUUCCGCGUGUAGCAGUGAAAUGCGUAGAUAUGCGGAGGAACACCGAUGGCGAAGGCA